rnacentral:tRNA from 1 species
GGGCGUGUGGUCUAGUGGUAUGAUUCUCGCUUUGGAUUCUACAACACAAAUAUGUGAGAGGCCCUGGGUUCAAUUCCCAGCUCGCCCC